rnacentral:rRNA from 1 species
CCUACGAGAUGCAGCAGUGAGGAAUAUUGGUCAAUGGGCGUAAGACUGAACCAGCCAAGUCGCGUGAGGGAUGAAGGUUCUAUGGAUCGUAAACCUCUUUUAUAAGGGAAUAAAGUGCGGGACGUGUCCCGUUUUGUAUGUACCUUAUGAAUAAGGAUCGGCUAACUCCGUGCCAGCAGCCGCGGUAAUACGGAGGAUCGGAGCGUUAUCCGGAUUUAUUGGGUUUAAAGGGUGGGUAGGCGGGCUUUUGAGGCAGCGGUGAAAGUCGGUGGCUCAACCAUAGGAUGGCCGGUGAAACUGGGAGGCGUGAGUAUGUGUGAGGCAGGCGGAAUGGGCGGUGUAGGGGGG